GGCUCUCUUGAAGCGUUGUGUGGUCGCUGCUUUCGUGCGCCUCGGUGGGAUUUUGGACGUGCCCGGGGGAUUUAUCAAGUAAAGGACGAGUCCUCCCGGAGAAGGCGAAAUCCUUGAGGUUUCAGAAACUGAGCGCGCAUCAGUUUCUACCAACCAAUCAACCACGGAGCUAGCCGGCUGAUCUCCCGUGUUGUCAAUGAUUCCCGCGUCAGUAGUGCUUCCCGGGAAGACCUGUGCGAUUCAGAUGUUGCCUUGGCUCCUGAAGGGAGAAGAUAGCACUGACCAAAGCACCUCCUUUAGCACAACCUGCUUCUUUAAUAUAUUCACGGCAGAGGUGAUUUCUCAAGUAAA